rnacentral:rRNA from 1 species
AUACAGAAGGCAGCAGUAAGGAAUAUUGGACAAUGGGCGAAAGCCUGAUCCAGCCAUGCCGCGUGUGUGAAGAAGGUCUUCGGAUUGUAAAGCACUUUAAGUUGGGAGGAAGGGCAUUAACCUAAUACGUUAGUGUUUUGACGUUACCGACAGAAUAAGCACCGGCUAACUCUGUGCCAGCAGCCGCGGUAAUACAGAGGGUGCAAGCGUUAAUCGGAAUUACUGGGCGUAAAGCGCGCGUAGGUGGUUUGUUAAGUUGGAUGUGAAAUCCCCGGGCUCAACCUGGAAACUGCAUUCAAAACUGACUGACUAGAGUAUGGUAGAGGGUGGUGGAAUUUCCUGUGUAGCGGUGAAAUGCGUAGAUAUAGGAAGGAACACCAGUGGCGAAGGCGACCACCUGGACUAAUACUGACACUGGGGUGCGAAAGCGUGGGGAGCAAACAGGAUUAGAUACCCCGGUAGU